CGGGAAUUUUGGGCAAUGGGCGAAAGCCUGACCCAGCAACGCCGCGUGAGGGAUGAAGUAUUUCGGUAUGUAAACCUCGAAAGAAUGGGAAGAAUAAAUGACGGUACCAUUUAUAAGCUCCGGCUAACUACGUGCCAGCAGCCGCGGUAAUACGUAGGGAGCAAGCGUUGUUCGGAUUUACUGGGCGUAAAGGGCGCGUAGGCGGCGCGGUAAGUCACUUGUGAAAUCUCUGAGCUUAACUCAGAACGGCGAAGUGAUACUGCUGUGCUAGAGUGCGGAAGAGGCAACCGGAAUUCUUGGUGUAGCGGUGAAAUGCGUAGAUAUCAAGAGGAACACCUGAGGCGAAGGCGGGUUGCUGGGCCGACACUGACGCUGAUGCGCGAAAGCCAGGGGAGCAAACG
rnacentral:rRNA from 1 species